GGGAGCCCCUUUCUGGGCUGGCCAAGGCCGGAGCCAGCUCCCUCAGCUUGCGAGGAGGUGUGGAGGGAGAGGCGCGGGCGGGAACCGGGGCUGCGCGCGGUGCUUGCGGGCCAGCGCGAGUUCCGGGUGGGUGUGGGCUUGGCGGACCCCGCACUUGGAGCGGCCGGCCGGCCCCACCGGCCCCGGGCAGUGAGGGGCUUAGCACCUGGGCCAGCAGCUGCUGUGCUCAAUUUCUCUCCGGGCCUUAGCUGCCUUCCCAUGGGGCAGGGCUCGGGACCUGCAGCCCGCCAUGCCUGAGCCUCCCCUCCGUCCGUGGGCUCCUGUGCGGCCCAGCCUCCCCAACGAGUGCCGUCCGUCCCCUGAUCCACGGCGCCCAGUCCCAUCGACCACUCAAGGGAUGAGGAGUGCGGGCGCACGGCACGGGAGUGGAAGGCAGCUACACCUGCAGCCCCGGUGCAGGAUCCACUGGGUGAAGCCAGCUGGGCUCCUGAGUCUGGUGGGGACGUGGAGAACCUUUAUGUCUAGCUAAGGGAUUGUAAAUACACCAAUCAGUGCCCUGUCAAAACGGACCACUCAGCUCUACCAAUCAGCAGGAUGUGGGUGGGGCCAGAUAAGAGAAUAAACGCAGGCUGCCCGAGCCAGCAGUAGCAACCCCCUGGGGUCCCCUUCCACACUGUGGAAGCUUUGUUCUUUCGCUCUUUGCAAUACUUGCUGCUGCUCACUCUCUUUUGGUCCACACUGCCUUUAUGAGCUGUAACACUCACCGGGAACGUCUGCAGCUUCACUCCUGAAGUCAGCGAGACCACGAACCCACUGGAAGGAAGGAACAACUCCAGACGCGCCACCUUAAGAGCUGUAACACUCACCGCGAAGGUCUGCAGCUUCACUCCUGAAGCCAGCGAGACCACGAACCCACAGGGAGGAACGAACAACUCCAGACGCGCCGCCUUAAGAGCUGUAACACUCACCGCGAAGGUCCGCAGCUUCGCUCCUGAGCCAGCAAGACCACGAACCCACCAAAAGGAAGAAACUCCAAACAGAUCUGAACAUCAGAAGGAACAAACUCCGGACACGCCACCUUUAAGAACUGUAACACUCACCUUGAGGGUCGGCAGCUUCAUUCUUGAAGUCAGUGAGACCAAGAACCCACCAAUUCCGGACACAGGGAGCUAGCCACUCCGUGGUUUCUGCUCUGCUGAGAACUGAGCAGACUUUGGGACUACCAGCUCCAGAGAGGAGCUACCCACUGCAGAGUUCCUCCAGGCUGUUCAUUUUUCCUCCCCUGUCCUCUCUUUGCAGAUGGGUAAUCAUGUCUCUGCACCACGGGACACUCCCCUCUGAGGCAUAAAAGUUUAAUUUUUGGCCUGGCACGGUGGCUUAUGCCUGUAAUCCCAGCACUUUGAGAGGCCGAGGCGGGCGGAUCACCUGAGGUCAGUAGUUCGAGACCAGCUUAGCCAACAUAGUGAAACCCAGUCUCUACUAAAAAUACAAAAAUUAGCUGGGCAUGGUGGCACGGGCCUGUAAUGCCAGCUACUCGGGAGGCUGAGGCAAGAGAAUCGCUUGAACCCAGGAGGCGGAGGUUACAGUGAGCCGAGAUCGCGCCACUGCACUCCAGCCUGGGUGCAGUGAGACUGCGGCUCAAAAAAAAAGAAUUCUUACCAGUUGAACCUCUGGCUUCUUUCUCUCUGUCUGUGAAAACAUGGUUGUAGAUUCUCUCUCCUCCAUGACUCCAUGACUUCCCUUUUACUGGGAACCUAUGCAUAGGACUCUGAGAGAGAUCUGUCAUUUUCCCCAAAACCAGGCCCCCUGUCAGCAUGAAGCAGUUAGAUAUACCUCUUCAGAGAUGUGAUUGAUGGCAGCGGCAGCCCAUCUGGACCAGCCACUGCCGUGACGCCAUCAGUGUGAGACGUGUAGCUAGGGCUGUGCACUCCACAGAGCUGGUGGGAGCUGGGAAUAGGUGAAAACCCUGCCUCCUUGUGAGUUGGCAGGACGGGAGCCUCCUGUUCCCUGGCUGCUGUUGUGGCCACCGAGCCGCAGCCCUGGAGCCAGGCAUCCCUGUGCUUGGGGAUCAGAGCGAGCAGGAGCAGAUCCUCUCCCUUCUGGGUGCAGCUGCAGCUGCCCAGCCAUGGCUGUGGUCCCGGAAGUCUCUGUGCUCUUGGGAGCUGGGAGGGCCCUCUGCCUCCUGCCCCUUACGCACUCCAGAGUCUCCUCUCUGUUGAGAGCUAAGCAGACAUCAGGACUACCAGCUGCAGAGAGGAGCUACCCACUGUGGGCUUCGUCUCUGCUGAGAGCUGAACACUCACUGGGACGCCCUGCCUAUGGAAACCAGCUGUUCACUCUGGGUCUCCUCUGAGCUGUUCUGUCGCUCAGUAAAGGUCUUCUUCUGCUUACUCGCCCUCCAUUUGUCUGCCUUACCUCAUUCAUCCUGGACACAGGACAAGAACUUGGGACUUGCCGGUAUGGUGGAGCUAAAAUAGCUGUAACACAAACAGGAUUGAAACAUGCCCCUUGCUCGCCACAUUGUGGAUGACAAGAGGGAGGGAAGAAAGGAGAGAAGAUCUGCGACCCUUCGGCAAACCCAGACUUAGGAGAUCGGAGAGCCAAGACUGUGACACCCUUUCUGGGGCUCUGUGGUUCCUGGCGUCUCCAAGCUUCUGGGCACCUCGGCUUUCCCCGGUGCCAGUCGUGGAAGCUGCUUGUGGCCUCCAUUUGCUGUUUGGGAAACUCUCUACGCUAUGAAUGUUAGCUGGCAGCAAACACUGCCUCCCACUACAGGGGCACACAGUGUUGGUGCCUGCUUUUCCACCCUCCACUUCCAACAGGAAGCAAGCACAGGACCCAAGCAUUGCAGACAGUUGUAUCACGCCAAUGUGCAUUCGGAGCCACUGACAGUGUUAGCAGUCACUGAUGCUCAAAC
rnacentral:lncRNA from 10 species